ACGCUCGACACCUACGGAGGCAGCAGUGGGGAAUAUUGCACAAUGGGGGAAACCCUGAUGCAGCGACGCCGCGUGAGCGAAGAAGUAUUUCGGUAUGUAAAGCUCUAUCAGCAGGGAAGAAAAUGACGGUACCUGACUAAGAAGCCCCGGCUAACUACGUACCAGCAGCCGCGGUAAUCUGAGCGGGCUGGCAAGGC
rnacentral:rRNA from 1 species